GAAAUGCGAUAAGUAAUGUGAAUUGCAGAAUUCAGUGAAUCAUCGAAUCUUUGAACGCACAUUGCGCCCGCCAGUAUUCUGGCGGGCAUGCCUGUCCGAGCGUCAUUUCAACCAUCAAGCCCCCGGGCUUGUGUUGGGGACCUGCGGCUGCCCGCAGGCCCUGAAAACCAGUGGCGGGCUCGCUGUCACACCGAGCGUAGUAGCAAUCACCUCGCUCAGGGCGUGCUGCGGGUUCCGGCCGUUAAACAGCCUUACAAAACCCAAGGUUGACCUCGGAUCAGGUAGGAAGACCCGCUGAUCUUAAGC
rnacentral:misc_RNA from 1 species